rnacentral:rRNA from 1 species
UACGUAGGGGGCAAGCGUUGUCCGGAAUCAUUGGGCGUAAAGAGCGCGUAGGCGGCCCUGUAAGUCCGCUGUGAAAGUCAAGGGCUCAACCCUUGAAUGCCGGUUGAUACUGUCGGGCUAGAGUCCGGAAGAGGCGAGUGGAAUUCCCGGUGUAGCGGUGAAAUGCGCAGAUAUCGGGAGGAACACCAAUGGCGAAGGCAGCUCGCUGGGACGGUACUGACGCUGAGACGCGAAAGCGUGAGGAGCAAACAGG